GAUUAGGUAGACGCCGGUGUAACGUACCGGCGUGCCUGUAAUCCGUACGGGUUGUGGGAGCAAGAGCCCGGAGAUGGAUUCUGAGACACGAAUCCAGGCCCUACGGGGCGUAGCAGGCGCGAAAACUCUACAAUGCAGGCAACUGCGAUAGGGGGACAUCGAGUGGCACCCACCUUGGGUGUCUGUCCAACCGUCUAAAAAACGGUGUUACAAGGGCCGGGUAAGACCGGUGCCAGCCGCCGCGGUAAUACCGGCGGCUCGAGUGGUGGCCGAUAUUAUUGAGUCUAAAGGGUCCGUAGCCGGCUUUGCAAGUCCUCUGGGAAAUCCAGCGGCUUAACCGUUGGGCUUCCAUGGGAAACUACAUUGCUUGGGACUGGGAGAGGUAGGAGGUACUCGAGGGGUAGGGGUGAAAUCCUGUAAUCCUUCGGGGACCACCGGUGGCGAAGGCGUCCUACCAGAACAGGUCCGACGGUGAGGGACGAAAGCUAGGGGCACGAACCGGAUUAGAUACCCGGGUAGUCCUAGCCGUAAACGAUGCCCGCUAGGUGUCACGGCGGUCGUGAAUCGCCGUGGUGCCGUAGGGAAGCCGCGAAGCGGGCCACUUGGGAAGUACGGCCGCAAGGCUGAAACUUAA
rnacentral:rRNA from 1 species